rnacentral:tRNA from 1 species
UUUGUAAUUAUUUUAAAUAGAAUUUUUGUUUUUGGUAUAAAAGGUUAUUUACAAGA